AUCCUGCUGAUGAGUCCCAAAUAGGCCGAAACGCGCAUCCUGUAU
rnacentral:hammerhead_ribozyme from 1 species